AACGAACGCUGGCGGCAUGCCUAAUACAUGCAAGUCGAACGAGAAAGCUCUUCGGAGUGAGUAGAGUGGCGCACGGGUGAGUAACACGUAGGUUAUCUACCUUCUAGUGGGGAACAACAGUUGGAAACGACUGCUAAUACCGCAUGUGGUGGCAACACUAAAGGGGGCUUCGGCUCUCGCUAGAAGAUGAGCCUGCGGGACAUUAGCUUGAUGGUGGGGUAAUGGCCUACCAUGGCGAUGAUGUCUAGCUGGUCUGAGAGGAUGAUCAGCCACACUGGAACUGAGACACGGUCCAGACUCCUACGGGAGGCAGCAGUAGGGAAUAUUGCGCAAUGGGGGAAACCCUGACGCAGCAAUGCCGCGUGAGUGAGGAAGGCCUUCGGGUUGUAAAGCUCUGUUAAUAGGGAAGAACGGUAUUUUGGUUAAUACCCAUAAUAUUUGACGGUACCUAUAGAGGAAGCACCGGCUAACUUCG
rnacentral:rRNA from 1 species